rnacentral:tRNA from 4 species
CGCGGGGUGGAGCAGCUCGGUAGCUCGUCGGGCUCAUAACCCGAAGGUCGUUGGUUCAAAUCCAGCCCCCGCAACCA